ACGACGGCGUUCGCGCGUCGUCCGCGCCUUCAUUUCUUCGAACCGGCGUCGAACGCGUGCACUUUUCCCCUAGUAGGACGUCGCGAUCCGUUGGGCGUCGGUCUACGGUUCGCGGUGGAGCACGCGCGGACGUUUCGGCGUUCCGCGCGUACCCGCGAUAUCCCGAUCGACUCGCUCGACGGUAUAAAGACGGCGCGGGGCCGCUACUCAGUUAGCGUUCGACCCGCGGCAAGCGCGUUCGGUGUGACGGCUAUCGGACCCGGUGCCGAUUCUGUCCCCGAGCGACUGUUGGCCGCGGUGUUCUCGAACGGACCUCGUCGAAACGCCGAUCUGCGACGCUAUAGCUUUGGGUACUUUCAGGACCCGUCUUGAAACACGGACCAAGGAGUCUAGCAUGUGCGCGAGUCAUUGGGACAUAACUAAACCUAAAGGCGUAAUGAAAGUAAAGGUUCGCCUCGCGCGAACCGAGGGAGGAUGGGCGGUUCGCCCACAAAGUGGCCGCCCCGCACUCCCGGGGCGUCUCGUUCUCAUCGCGAGAAGAGGCGCACCAAGAGCGUACACGCUGGGACCCGAAAGAUGGUGAAYUAUGCCUGGUCAGGACGAAGUCAGGGGAAACCCUGAUGGAGGUCCGUAGCGAUUMUGACGUGCAAAUCGAUU
rnacentral:rRNA from 1 species